GUGCCCUUAGUGUAGUGUUAACAUACAUCCCGUUUGUUAAAUGGUAAUAAGGAACAUACGGAUGAGUUUGGGGUUCAAUUCCUCAAAGGCGCA